rnacentral:rRNA from 1 species
AGUUCACACUGUGACGGUAGCUUACCAGAAAGGGACGGCUAACUACGUGCCAGCAGCCGCGGUAAUACGUAGGUCCCGAGCGUUGUCCGGAUUUAUUGGGCGUAAAGCGAGCGCAGGCGGUUUGAUAAGUCUGAAGUUAAAGGCUGUGGCUCAACCAUAGUUCGCUUUGGAAACUGUCAAACUUGAGUGCAGAAGGGGAGAGUGGAAUUCCAUGUGUAGCGGUGAAAUGCGUAGAUAUAUGGAGGAACACCGGUGGCGAAAGCGGCUCUCUGGUCUGUAACUGACGCUGAGGCUCGAAAGCGUGGGGAGCGAACAGGAUUAGAUACCCUGGUAGUCCACGCCGUAAACGAUGAGUGCUAAGGUGUUGGGGGGUUUCCGCCCCUCAGUGCUGCAGCUAACGCAUUAAGCCACUCCGCCUGGGGAGUACGACCGCAAGGUUGAAACUCAAAGGAAUUGACGGGGACCCGCACAAGCGGUGGAGCAUGUGGUUUAAUUCGAUGCAACGCGAAGAACCUUCAAGGCUUGACAUG